UUAAAUAUAGUUUAGAAAAACACUAGAUUGUGAAUCUAGUAACAGAAGACUGUACCUUAUUUAUA
rnacentral:tRNA from 1 species